UCUAAUCUGCCCGUUUCCUUCCUUGCACAGUGCUCUAGGGGUCGAGUUCUGCUCAUUUAAAUUUAGAGCCCAAAAAAUAUGCUCGUAUUAGGCUCGUUUGAUUUAGCGAGCAGAGCACUAGUUGUUCACCUUGCCCUAAACUUUGGCUUCUCCGAACACGAGCCGCAUCGUUGUUCCUUUGUUCACGUGAUUCUGCCCUAGCCGCAACACUUCCCACACCGAAGCCCCUCCGCCCUAAACUUUGGCCGCUCUGUGCUCCUCCCUGUCACGCUUCCUAAGCCGCAUGGUUCUCUGUAUUUGCGCACUGAAAUCCUCUUUCCGUUUCCCCUCCCUGCCCUAGCCUUCGUCACCCUCGCCGAACACCUACCUGUUUCGCCUCCUGAUGCCGCACUGUUCGAUCGCUGUUUGGCCUUAAAGCCGGAUAAGCCCUUCACUUCUGCUGCCUAACAGAACUCCUUAUUCAAGCACAACCCGAACCUCUUGCCCUACCAAAGGCAUUUUUAAGUCCGUCCCAGAAAAUUGCGAGUAGGUUAGUUAUGACGUCGAGGUCGCCAAGUUCGGGUUGAUCAGACAAUACAUCACUGCCUGCCUGGUUUGCCUAAGAUCAAAACUGUGUACAUUGAAGUUAUUCCGUUAUCCUGGGACGAGGAAAAAGUACAUCAAAUUUGCAAAAAUUAUGUGCUGUGGCUUUUGUCGAGGGAAUAAACAAUGCGCAGCUUGGUGAUGGAGAAACCAGAAUCAGAGCAAGUCUAUCCAAACCUCUGAACAAAGACCGGCUUACCAAGAAAGAUGAUAGAGGUGCUUCUAUAAUUAAAAUGGAUGACAAACUAACCAGAAAAUUGGUCUCAAUAAGAAGAAAAAAGUCAAGUCAAAAGGUGUUGAAAGUAAGGAAGAGAUGCAACUCAAAUUAAAAAAUGUGAUAGAAACUGAGCCAUCUGAAUCCAAUAAUAAAGGCACCAAUGGUGGUACUGAGUCUCAAAUAGCAAAAUCUGUCAAAAGAAAAAAGGGAAGUGAAAAUGCCAUGGAAGCUGUUCUUCGUGAUUCCUUAAAAAAAGAUGAAUAUGAGCCACCAUCAUUACAAUGCAACUCAUUGGUUAUAGAACCGGAAUUUAUGCGUCUGGAGGACCAUAUUUUUGAAAGAACCGGAGCUUUUUCAAUUAUUCUGGUAACUGAAGCCCUCAAUGUUCACUUCCCUAUUUCUUUUGCUUGUCUACCAACAUUUUAGCAGUGGAUUACUUAUAUUCGGACAAUGGUCUCACGUUUGCGUUGAUGGACGGCCUGGAGUCGGGAUGCCCGAAGCCUAUACGACCAGCGGCCCGAAUGACUUGAAGGCAAUUAAGAUUAGCUGACCGAGGUAGAAAGCAAAUAAACAACAAGUCCGUACAUGUAAAGUAUCAAAAAUACUUCUAUAACGCUCUCAUUAAAGCAAAAACAAAUAUAGAACUUCAGGUAUUGUAUCGUCUCCCCUAUAAAUAUAGGAUUAUUUUAUAAAAUUGGUAUUGUUCAUUAUUAUUCA